rnacentral:misc_RNA from 1 species
AAGUCGUAACAAGGUUUCCGUAGGUGAACCUGCGGAAGGAUCAUUAAUGAAAUGAUGUUUUUUGGGGUUUUUAAUCUCAAAAAUAAUUCACCUUUUGUGCAUUGUUAUUAGAUAUACUUUGGUUAGAGCUUUGAAUUCAUUUAUUGGAAUCAACUUCUUGCUAACUCUAUCCUCUCUGAGGACAGUUGGCUAUGAAGCGGCCCACCAAAGUUUUUUAUCAAACUCUUGUAUUUUGUCUGACCUAAAUAUCAAUAAUUAAAUCAUAACUUUCAACAACGGAUCUCUUGGCUCUC